UACAGAGGCCUCGAGCGUUAGGCGGAAUCACUGGGCUUAAAGCGCGUGUAGGCGGGAGGGCACGUCCGUUGCUGAAAUCCCCCGGCUCAACCGGGGAACGGGCGCGGAUACGACCUUCCUGGAGGGGCGUAGGGGGACCUGGAACUUCCGGUGGAGCGGUGAAAUGCGUUGAGAUCGGAAGGAACGCCCGUGGCGAAAGCGAGGUCCUGGACGCCUACUGACGCUGAGACGCGAAAGCCAGGGGAGCGAACGGG
rnacentral:rRNA from 1 species